GGANUAGGGAACCUUGACGCAGCGACGCCGCGUGCGGGAUGAAGGCCUUCGGGUUGUAAACCGCUUUCAGCAGGGACGAAAUUGACGGUACCUGCAGAAGAAGGCCCGGCCAACUACGUGCCAGCAGCCGCGGUAAUACGUAGGGGCCUAGCGUUGUCCGGAAUUAUUGGGCGUAAAGAGCUCGUAGGUGGUUCGGUAAGUCACGUGUGAAAUCUCCACGCUUAACGUGGAGGCGCCACGUGAAACUGCUGUGACUCGAGUCCGGUAGGGGAGUGUGGAAUUCCCGGUGUAGCGGUGAAAUGCGCAGAUAUCGGGAGGAACACCAGUAGCGAAGGCGGCACUCUGGGCCGGUACUGACACUGAGGAGCGAAAGCGUGGGGAGCGAACAGGAUUAGAUACCCUGGUAGUCCACGCCGUAAACGUUGGGCACUAGGUGUGGGACUCUAUCGACGGGUUCCGUGCCGUAGCUAACGCAUUAAGUGCCCCGCCUGGGGAGUACGGCCGCAAGGCUAAAACUCAAAGAAAUUGACGGA
rnacentral:rRNA from 1 species